AGCUCACCCUUGGACAAGGUGAAGCACCUGCUUAGCACCCCAGUCAGGGUCACGUGAAGCCAUUGAAUCAGGUGGUGGAUGGUCAUAUGAGCAGCUGGUGCAUAUCACAAGUCCUGGUUAUGCAACCUCUGCCACCAGGCAGACAAUCUCUGAAAAGCAUUGAUAAUGACUGGGAUCAUCAGUCUCGAAAAGACACUGCCCAGAACAAGGCAAUGGCAAACCACCUCUGCAGAAAAAUUUGCCAAGAACAAUCAUGGCCAUAGACUAUGAUCACCCACGUCAUACAACACGGCACAUAAUUAUGAUGAUGACUAUACAUCACAAAUUGUUGACAAACAAUGUAGUCUUUAGCUUUUGCUAUGAAACCUGCUAAGACCGCUCUAACACCACCACCCAAACUUAUUUUACCACAUAGUCAUUUUCUAGAUUACUUCUUUGGGUUUGAGGAUGCCUUGCUUUCACUCCAGUUUUAUGAGUUGAUAGAUGGUUAAGAAUUCCUACACCACAAAUGGUGGUGUUUGAACAGGCAGCCGGUGGAUUGUUUGGGGAGGUUAUGCUCUCCUUCCGCUUCAGGUGGCCAUGCCGUAUCAAGUUACUGAUUAAAUUAGUGGGAAAGGUUGGGCAGGCUAGGACUUUUAUCCUUGGAGUGUAGCAAACUGAGGAGUGAUAUUAGACAGGUUUAUAAAAUCAUGAGGAACAUGGAUGGUGUGAAUACACUUAAUCUCUUUCCCAGAGUCAGGAGAUUGAGAUCCUUUUGUGAUUCUGGCAGAACGCUGUGCCUCAAAUUCUGGUGAUCAGGUCCCUUCUGUUCUAUCAGAUGACUGAGAAAUUUCUUGCCAGUGAGAACAUUCACUUAGUUGAAGUGAAUUGAUAAUGAAUGCAGCCUAACAUUGCAAUCAGGCAACUGGAAACGUGUACACCAGAUAUUUUGGUCAAUGUGGGUGCCUUUAGAUAUCUUUCUUUGUUUCUUCUUCAUGGCAUUUGAUGGAUUUUAAGUAUGCCUACUUUGACGAUGCUCCAUUAAGGCUCAUACUGCACUGCAUAGUGCAUAAUCACACCAAACAUAGUUGCAUUGCUUAUUGAUAAUAGGUGUUUCCCUGUGUAUUACCAACAGAAGGAAGCCUUGAGAUGCACAAUAAUAUUGGGCCUGCACUCUUGUCUCCUAAGUUCCUCAACUGUAUCAAUAAUAAUAUUGAUUAAUAAUUAUGUUCAAAUUUCUGUAUAGUGAAAUAUUCUACAGCACUCCCCCAAAAGACCUUCCAAACCAAAAUUUAACCCUGCCUACAUGAGAAGAUUCUGGAAUAGAAGUCAAGAGUCUUAAAUAUCCUGUUAUAUACAAGACAAUGAGGAAAAGAACCAUUUGCCCAACUAGUCUAUACUGGUGCCUGCUCUCCUCAAAUGUACCCUCACUCCAUGAGAGAAAGCAUCUCAUCUUUGUGGCUUCUAAUAUAUCUUUCUGUUUCCUCUUCUCUGGUGUACUUGUCUCAUUUUCUUUUAAAAUCAUCCAAGAAGCUUGCUACAGAAAUCUUUUGGCAAAUCCUACAUUAGAACAUUGAACAUGUACAGCAUAGUACACGUCUUUUGGCCCAUGACGUUGUGCUGAAACAGCUGAAAAGCAAAUCAAAUAUACCCAGACACAACGUCCAUAUCCCUUCAUCUUCCUCACAUCUAUGUGCCUCUCUAAAUGCCUCUUAAGACCUGUAAUGUAUUUGCCUCUAUCACCGUACCAGGCAUCCAUGACUCUCUGUGUGAAAAAAAAACUUACCCCUCACAUCCCCCUUGAACCUACUCCCUGUCAUCUUCAACGCAUGCCCUCUGGUAUGAGACAUUUGCUUCUUGGUAUUGAUCCGUGGUGUAAAACCCCUGCUUCAAAAGCUUAAUAUAAACAUGUGUACCUGUGACUCACGGAGCCAUCAACAAUUUCACUCUGGCCUUAUCUUCCACCAAAUACCAUUCACACUUUUGGUCAGCACUGUGUGUUAAUUAUUGUCGUGUUGUCCGUGCUGUGCUUGUCCUUGCUUCGUCUAGGUUUCACAUCAAGUGCAGCGCCCUAUUACCGUCAGGUCCCUGUCUUAAAGAUCUCACACGAGGAGGACUAUGAUGGUCUUACUGGGAAGGAGCUCAAAGUGGUGGUAGAUGGGAACGACCCGGACUAUGAGCACUUCUACACCAUAGGAAGCUAUGAAGCACCUACAGACGACCAUGGGAUGGAGGAAUUCCAAACUUCCGACAUGAUGCGAGAGAAGGUAGACCCCACAGAUCUGCCACAGCAUGAAAGGUUGAGAAGAGACGCCUCCAUACAAGCAGACCCCUGCCUGCUUCCGCUGGAUGAGGGAAAUUGCUCCAAGUAUACAUUGCUUUGGUACCACCACAGGGAGAGUGGCCAGUGCCGUCCCUUCAUCUACAGCGGCUGCAAAGGAAAUGCCAACCGGUUCCAGACCCCAGAGGACUGCAAAGCCAUCUGCAAGAACAAAGCAGACCAACAAAGCAAGAAGGAACCUGAGUGAAGCAGGAAGAAGAGUCGAAACGAUUCAAAUUUUAAUCUUAAGGAGUUUUGGAAGUGGGGCUAGGGGAACGGGGGGCCCCCUUUUAUAAUUAUUGAGCUUGGCAGUGGUUUUUUUUAAAAAAAAAGAUGGUGCUAUAUAUUUUCACAGUUAAGAUGAAGUUGUUAUGAAUAAUUUUUGAUCAAACAAAUGCUGUUUUAAUGGUUAUAUUUAUCACAGUCUAAUGCUGCUCUUAAACAUAGGGCAGAUAUGGAGAAAACGUAGUCAAGUUUACGGUUUGAAGCUUUUAGUGGUAAUCUGAGAGAUAGACCCUUCAAAAUGAGUGUUUUUUCUACACCAGAUGCAAUCUCUGCUCUAACACAUCUGCAUUUGGGACAUCAGGGCAACCUGGUUGGUUAGACAAUGAACUUUAACCUCUCUAAUUGGGUCUUUCCUCAUCUAUCCACUAAAUUCACCUCCCCUGCUCAUAGGCAGUCUUAAUUUGGCUCUCCCUCUGGGGAAGGGAAAAACCUGCACUGGUAAGCUACCCCCUAAUCUGGUAGGGAGAAACAGAGGGAGAAUGUGUGUGUUGCUUCAAAAUGGAGGGAGAAUGUAUCCAAACUGAGAGCGUCUACUCUCUGAAAAGGUGUGAAGAGAUGUUACAAACCCUCACAUACUGCAAUUAAUGAGAGUAAAUUUCACUGUAAAUCUGUUUCUAUGUGCAGUACUGCUCUGCAGUGAAUCUUUCUGGAGAAGCUCACAUCUCACUGCCACAAGGAGAGGUUAUCUAGUCUAGGAAAUGUGUGUCUCUGUCCAUGACUUUUCUCUGCAGAUGUAAGAUGUAGAUCUACUGAGGGAUGGAGUGAUCAAUCCUUGACUGGUGGCGGUACAAAAGUCACAGUCUAAGACUAUAAGACCAUCAGAUAUAGGAGCAGAAUUAGGCCAUUUGGCCCAUCAAGUCCGCUCCACCAUUUCAUCAUGGCUGAUCCAAUUUUCCCUCUCAGCCCCAAUCUCCUGCCUUCUCCCUCUAUCCCUUCAUGCCCUGACCGAUCAAGAAUCUAUCAACCUCUGCCUUAAAUAUACAUAAAGACUUGGCCUCCGUAGCUGCCUGUGGCAACGAAUUCCACAGAUGCACCACUCUGUGCAUAUUGGCCAGUAUUCCCAGAAUUGGUGACCAAGGAUGAAGUCUCCAUCGUACUUACUCCACUGAUGAAACUCUCCAUACUAGUGCCUUGGAAAUUUCUUCUCCAAUUAUCAGUGAAGCUCAUAACCACAUCUCAUUUAUUUCCCAUGCCCCUGCUCUAACCUCUUCUCAACUGGGACAGAACAAGGGAAAAAAAUCCCCUUUGUCCUCACCGUGCACUCCACCAGACUCCUCAACCAACCAAUCUUCAGGAAGAUUCCACCACGAGACACAUCUCCUCAUCAGCUUCUCUUCUUUUGUCCCCUGUUCAGUUCUGACAAAGAGGCUGUGACUGAAACAUUGGCUCUGUUUCUCUUUCCUCAGAUGAAGCCUGACCUGCUGAGUGUUCCCUGUUCUUUACGUUUUAAUGAUGCAGCUUGAAAGGGGGGUGGGUGCAGGAAGGCCUAGGGACCGAAUUCCUGAGAUCACAGCUUUGUCCCUGAUAUCAACUGACCAAUGUUACUAAAACUCAUCUCCAUUCCGCUGCAUCACUUGUUUCAAGGUGUUUUUGCCUCAGAAUUAGGUAUAAAUAAAAGAAUAAUAUCAAUGGUUCCAUUUAAUAUUAGGGAAUGUAUACAGUAUACAACCUGAAAUUCUUACUCUUCACAGACAUCCAUGAAACAGAAGAGAAACCCCAAAGAAUGAAUGACGGAAAAACAUUUGCACCCCAAAGCCCCACUCCCCUCCCAUAUGCAAGCAUCAACCCUCCUCCUCCCCUCACCUGCCUCAGCAAAAACAUCAGCCCCCCCACCACCACCCACCCACCAUGCAAGCAAUAGAAAAGCCCCGAAAGAGACCUUGAUCCAUCAAAACCCACUGUUCAUCACAUCAGUCUGACAUCCACAAUCUGGCUCUCUCACUACUGAGGGAGAGAGAGGGGUAUCAGUCCUACCACAGCAACAUUGGAGACUAACAGCUCGCUGUUUGGAUGUUGCGGUCUGUUGUGUCACUCUAUUUUGACUUUCCCCGACUCGAGAUCAGCAGCAAGAUAUGGAAGGGUUAAAAAAGAAAGCUCCAGAUGAAGAUUUACACUGAUAUAGUUAUGAUGGGAUGUUCUGUCUCUCAUUUGGUGCCAUUUCUACCCCUAGUGGGUUGUCCAUUCACUUCACUCGUUCACGGUCACCUUUGCCACUUUGAGCACUUACUGCAAAUCACUUUCCUUCAGGUACCUUAAGGCUUUCACACACAAACAUUGUGGAAGGCAUCCAAAAUUAGGUAAAACUUCUAUGAACUGUAAGGAAAGAUCUGGAUGUCUUGUGUAAUAUUUUAACUAUAAUUAUAGUGAGUAUCAUUUUCAAUCUUUCUACUGAAAAUAUCAAGGUAAAAAAAAGCAUUCAAAAGGUGCUAAAGUCUUGGUUGAAAGAGCUGGAUGUCAGGUUUCCAUGUUGUUAUUUAUUGUGCAGGAUGGAAAUGCUCACAUGAUGUGGAAUGAAAAGGUCACCAAAAACAGUGCUGACCAUUCUUCCAAACUGUACCCUGCUUUACUCACCCCAUGCACCCAACAGCGUUAUUUGUUAAGGAACACUGACUGCAGUCAAAAAUAGAAGAGAUUCUGCAGAUGCUGGACAUCUGUGUGGAUCGCUCAAGUUUUCCGGCAUCUGCAGAAUCUCUUCUGUCUAUGAUUUGCUGCACCACUAUAAAGUCUCUUUGAGAUAUGUCUAUCCUAAGGAAGUUUAAAUCUUCCCUUCGACAGGAGUUCGGUGAGGCCCACUCUCAUUGCUUCCCCUGUGAGGUUACUGCUGCUCCCUGACUCUUCAACCAUAUUCUUCUUGUCCUUCCCCUACUCCAACUUCCAGCUUCUUUCCCUUUCCUUCACAGUCUUAAAAUUCCCACUCCCAUUCGACACAUCUGUCCAUGGCUGCCUCUACUGCCAUGAUGAGGCCAAACUCGGGUUGGAAGAGCAACACCUCAUAUUCUGUAUGGAAAACCUCUAACCUAAUAGGAUGAGCAUCAAUUUCUCCAACUUCUGAUCAUUUCUCCCCCUUCCCUCCUCUUCUUUUUUCCAUUCCCCUCUUACCUCUUCUUUUCUCGUCACCUGCCCAUCACCGCCCUCUGGUGUCCCCUCUUCCUUCCUUUUCUCCCAUGGUCCUCUGUCCUCUCCUAUCAGAUUUCUUCUACAGCCCUUUACAUUUUCCACCCAUUCCUUCCCAGCUUCUCAUUUCAUCCCCCAUGGCCCAACCACCUUCCUCCUCCCUCACCUAUCACCUGCCAUCUUGUAUUCCUUCCCCUCCUCCCACCUUCUUAUUUUGUCAUCUGCCCCCUUCCUUUCCUGGGCUAACGAAUGGUCUUGGCCCGAAACGAAGACAGUCGAUUCCCCUCAUCGACGCUACUUGACUGCAAUACAUUGUGGAAAAUAGAUCAUAAAAGUAAAUUAAGAAACCAUGGGACCAUUUACAGUACAUUAAACAAGACUUCACUCUAUGCCCCCAGACCUGUCUGCAGGUUGGCAUCUUAUCCAAGAGCAUUCUCUCUGCUCGUGCCAAAUCCCUGUGUCUUUCGUGUCAAGUUCUGUCACUCUGUUUGAUGCUGGCCAAAUCAUAAGCGGGAAUGGCCAGCACAAGGGGGCAUAAUGUUCUGGUGAUUGGAGGGAUGUCAGAGGUAGUUGGCUUGCAGAGAGAGUGGUGGGUAUGUGAAAAGACCUGCCAGGGCAGGUGGUAGAAUCAGACACUGUUCUGAUAUAUUCUAUGUUGUGGUUUCUGUGCCUUCCUUCAGGGAGAAUAUGUCUAUGUGAAUUUACAAGCUAAUUAAUGGACGGCCUUGUUUUGGACCUUUACACAAUCCUGUUAGAGAAAUGUCCCUUUAACAUUCAUUUUCUAGCUACAACCUCAUUCUUCCCUUUUUGCCACCCACCCUCCCCCAAUUUUCCUACAUUUUAGGAUUGUUGUUGCCCUCUCCCCCAUUAAUCUAUGUCCCAGGUCUGCUCACCUUCCUCCUUCCUGAUCUCACUGUGAUAAAAUCAAGACCCUUUCUGUAGAUGUUCUCCAAUCUUCAGAGUGUCCCUGGCCAUGGCCUGUAUGAACUUAUCAUCUGUUCCUUCCUUCCUUCUCUCCACGCUAUUGUCCAACAUUGAUACAGUUGAACUGUUAGAAUGUGCAACAGUACAGGUCCUUCAGCCCAUAAAGUUGUGCUAACUUUUUAUUCUACUUCCAGAAUCAGUCUAAUUGUUCCCUGCCCCGCCCAUGUCCUCCAAUUUUUCUUUCAUCCAUUUGCCUAUCUGAGAGUCUCUUAAAUGUCCCUAAUAUGUCUGCCUCUACUACCAUUAUUGGCAGCACGUUCCAUGCACCCACCACUCCCUGUAUAAAAAUAACCUAACUCAGACACCCCUGCCCCUUUUUCUCCGAUCACCUUAAAAUUAUACCCUGUCAUUAGCCAUUUCUGACAUGGGCAAAAAGUCUCUGGCUGUCCACUCUAUUUAUGACUCUUAUCAUCCUAUACACCUCUACCAAAUCAUCUCUCAUCCUCCCCCACUCCAGAGAAAUUGUAUCAUUUUUUAAAGCAUGCAUUUCUAAAUGACAAUAAACGAGGACUGAGUGUCCUCAUAAUCUAAUCUAAAAGCCCUAGCUCACGCCACCUUUCUUCAUAAGACAUGGUCUCUAAUCCAGGCAGCAUCCUAGUAAAUCUCCUCUGCACCCUCUCUAAAAGUUCUACCUUCUUCCCAUAAUAAGGUGACCAGAACUGAACACAAUACUCCUUACACGUCAAAGAUCACAAUUGCUGCUUUGAGCCUUUGCUAUUUAAGCAGGCUUCUCGGCCUCUCAGCUAAUUCCCAAAAGUUUACAGUCCUUCCCCUCAAGAGAUACUUUCGGAGCAGCAGUACAAAAGUAGAAUGAUUGAGUUCUUGUGUAUUAAUGAAAGAAUAAUUCUUGGGCCUAAAGGUUUGCCCAAAUAUCUUGUGAUGCAGACAGUAUUCCUUUGAAAUAUCCAUCUCCAGAUUCUGCAGAAAUGCUAACCAGCUGAGUGAGUGAGUGAGUGUGUGUGUGUGUGUGUGUGUGUGUGUGUAUUAUAUAAAUAUAUAUUAUAAAAUUCAGCCACAGACCAAACUUGACAAAUUAAAGACUGCAUACCUCU